GAUGAACGCUGGCGGCGUGCCUAAUACAUGCCAGUCGAGCGAACAGACGAGGAGCUUGCUCCUCUGACGUUAGCGGCGGACGGGUGAGUAACACGUGGAUAACCUACCUAUAAGACUGGGAUAACUUCGGGAAACCGGAGCUAAUACCGGAUAAUAUAUUGAACCGCAUGGUUCAAUAGUGAAAGACGGUUUUGCUGUCACUUAUAGAUGGAUCCGCGCCGCAUUAGCUAGUUGGUAAGGUAACGGCUUACCAAGGCAACGAUGCGUAGCCGACCUGAGAGGGGGAUAGGCCACACUGGAACUGAGACACGGUCCAGACUCCUACGGGAGGCAGCAGUAGGGAAUCUUCCGCAAUGGGCGAAAGCCUGACGGAGCAACGACGCGUGAGUGAUGAAGGUCUUCGGAUCGUAAAACUCUGUUAUUAGGGAAGAACAAAUGUGUAAGUAACUAUGCACGUCUUGACGGUACCUAAUCAGAAAGCCACGGCUAACUACGUG
rnacentral:rRNA from 1 species